rnacentral:rRNA from 1 species
GAUGAACGCUAGCGGCAGGCCUAAUACAUGCAAGUCGGACGGGAUUCAGGAGCUUGCUUCUGAUGAGAGUGGCGCACGGGUGCGUAACACGUAUGUAACCUACCUUUAUCAGGGGGAUAGCCUCUCGAAAGAGAGAUUAAGCCCGCAUAAAAUCACAGCACAGCAUUGUGUAAUGAUCAAAUAUUUAUAGGAUAAAGAUGGGCAUGCGGAACAUUAGCUAGAUGGCGGGGUAACGGCCCACCAUGGCGACGAUGUUUAGGGGAUCUGAGAGGAUGGCCCCCCACACUGGUACUGCGACACGGACCAGACUCCUACGGGAGGCAGCAGUAAGGAAUAUUGGUCAAUGGGCGGAAGCCUGAACCAGCCAUGCCGCGUGCAGGAAGACGGCCCUACGGGUUGUAAACUGCUUUUAUACGGGAAUAAACCCAGAUACGUGUAUCUGGCUGAAUGUACUGUAAGAAUAAGGAUCGGCUAACUCCGUG